AUACGAAAAUGUAUUUUGUCUGUCUAGUAUAUAGCUGUAAGUAGCAAAGUAAUAGAAAGCAAGUUGCGAAAAAAAACGCUCAGGUCUCUGACGAUAAACUUGAUUGUUUACUUCAAAAAGCAAUAUUAAAGAAAUUUUCCGCUGAAUACGACGUUAAGAUAUAUAUGAUAAAAUAAAUAUAGGUCCAAUAAAAUAGCUAAACAUCCAUUGAGCAGAGUCGUUUGCUUUUUAACACUUGGGUUUUUGAUGCGGAAGCUCAGGGUUUUUGAUGCGGAAGCUCUGGGUUUUUGAUGUGGAAGCUCUGGGUUUUUUGAUGUGGAAACUCUGGGUUUUCGAGCAUGCAACCAUUCAAUACCUUGUUUUUUAAAAGGCUGAUUUAUAUGAUGUAUAGUGCAUAUUUCUGUUAGCUUCAUGCAAAUAUUUUUUCUCAAAUUACUGUGAUUAUUUUCUCUGAUUAUUUUUUCUAAUUGUUGGGAAUUGUAAACCACGGAUGCUAAACUAAUUUCAAAUGACAAACGAAAGAAAAGUCAGGCAAUAACUUGACACAGGCAAUCAAAAAUCCUUUCACUCUCCUUCUCAGGAUUGGUAGUUGGCAUGACUCGGAGAAAAUAAUUUUGGCAGAUGUCAAAUCUUAGGUCUUUACGUUAUCUGGUCACCGAGGUUCUAGCGUACCUAUUUUUUGAAAGACGAUGACCAGAGGACUGUACAUCUAGCGUAGUUGGACGCGUAUUUCCAGGCUUUGAGUGACAAAGAAUGGAUGACCAUAUGGAGCGGACGUCAACAUUGUGAUGUAUAGUUGGACACGUAUUU